UGAGUAAAAACAAGAUGUUUUCAUUCAUGAAUCAGACUCCUACUACAUCAGAAACACACUGAGAUCCAAAAUGCAUUGCUACAAACACAUCGAAAUAUGUCUGCUAUGCUAAACUUAGAUAUAAACACCAAACCCUAGAAACUAAAUCUAAGCUUUCUUUGGAGAUUUGGUAGCCUUGGAUGGAGAUUUGGUAGUAGUUGCAGCCUUCUCGUUCUUCUUAGGCAAAAGGAUUGGGUUGAUGUUUGGAAGAACACCUCCAUGUGCAAUUGUAACACCAGCUAACAAUUUUCCAAGUUCUUCAUCGUUCCUCACAGCCAACAACACGUGCCUAGGGAUGAUCCUGUUCUUCUUGUUGUCACGUGCUGCAUUUCCAGCCAACUCAAGAACCUGAACACAAAACACAAAUUAUGCUUUCAGAUUCAAAAUUGAAAUUGAGAAAAAGGGAAAAUGUAAAUUGAAAUUCACCUCAGCAGCAAGAUAUUCAAGAACAGCAGCUAAGUAAACAGGAGCACCAGUACCAACACGCUGAGCGUAUCUUCCUUUCUUCAAGUAACGACCGAUUCUUCCGACUGGAAAUUGAAGACCAGCUCUGGUGGAUCUUGUCACUGACUUCUUCCUUGGACCACCUUUCCUUCCACCAGCUCCCUUCUUCGUCUUGGUGC
rnacentral:lncRNA from 1 species